rnacentral:rRNA from 1 species
GUCCACGCCCUAAACGAUGUCAACUAGUUGUUGGUAGAGUAAAUCUAUGAGUAACGCAGCUAACGCGUGAAGUUGACCGCCUGGGGAGUACGAUCGCAAGAUUAAACUCAAAUGAAUUGACGGGGCCCGCACAAGCGGUGGAUUAUGUGGAUUAAUUCGAUGCAACGCGAAAACCUUACCUGGCCUUGACAUGUACGGAACUUUCCAGAGAUGGAUUGGUGCUCGAAAGAGAGCCGUAACACAGGUGCUGCAUGGCUGUCGU